CCUCCACUCCACGCGCCCCAAGCGCACACACGGACAGCGCGAGGAAGGUUCGUCUCCAGAGCAACCAGAGGCAGCUGUCCCGUGAGGUGGAGGCCAUGGUCCUGGUCCGGCUGAACUCUUCGUCCGUCGUGGUUCAGUCUCGACGGUGUAAUGCGAUGUCUGUGACUCGCAGUAUUGCUAGUUUAUGCGGUAAAACUAAGACUGCAGUAAACUAUUCCCCAGCUACAACAGCGUUACAGUCUAACUCUCCAUGAAUGUCGGUGGAAGAGGGGAGGGUGCAGAGAAAAAGCCCGAAGUAGAAGCCAGCAAGCAUGACCCUCCCCCCCAUGUGUUUAUAGCUCCACCACACCGAGCUCCUUGUUUUCAGCAGCAUCCUCACUUGCUUUCAACCUGGUGUCACAUCAGCUGUAUUCUCUUCAGACAAAUUUAUCUCUACCGGGACUCAGGAAACAUGAUAAGGAUGAAAUGGGGGCUCCUCUUUUGGCUGGUCCGGUAUUUGGAGUCUCAGAACAUCACCUGUAAAAUAAACCAAACAAAGUCAAUUUCAGAUGCCCUCCAUUAUAUGGAGCAAGUAGACAAAAUGUUGGUUGAUCAUGGAGGAUACACUAAAGGAGCUGUGAAGUGCCUAGAACAAGUUCUAGAGGAAACAGAGGUGAAUGAGACUACGUCCAUUUCUGCCGGCCAUUUGGUGGCCCUACUGCACAAACCCCAAAGACCCUUCACAAGUCUCGUUAUACACGCUAGUAAGAGUAAGGCAAUGUUAGACAAGACUUUCACCAACAGCACAGUGAGCGUUCAACUGCCGGGAGAGUUGGAUGUUGGAUCGAACAACACGAUUGUGUUCUGCAUGAUUACUUCACAUGAAACCAACUGGACCACAUGGGGAGCCUCAGAUCUGUAUGAGGGCAGACUGGUUGGACUGAGUGUGCGCGGCAAGAACAUUUCAGGACUACAGGAGCGCGUCAACAUCACCAUGACUCUUACUAUGGGCAUAAAUGAGACCCAAAAACCCACUUGUGAGUUCUUCAAUUUUACAACAAGUGACUUCAGCAGUAAUGGCUGUCUUACCCUGUGGGAACGUGAUGAAAGUCAAAUCACCUGCUCCUGUGACCACCUCACAUACUUUGGUGUGCUCCUGGUAGAUGCUAUCCUCCCUCCUACUGACCUGAAGAUUCUGACACUCAUCACUCAGAUUGGCUGUAGUCUUUCUCUUUUUGCCCUGGUCAUCACUGUUCUGCUCUUCAUCACGAACAGAAAGAUCAGAGCAGAUGUCUCUAUGAGGGUCCACAUCAACCUCACCAUUGCCCUGAUUCUCCUCAACCUGCACUUCCUCCCAAGUCAGUCGGUGGCAGCACAGUCCUCCUCUGGGCUUUGCGUUUACAUGGCCCUUGCUCUUCACUAUUCCCUGCUGGCCACUUUCAGCUGGAUGGCCCUGGAAGGGUUCCACAUCUACCUUCUCCUUGUCAGAGUCUUCAACAUCUAUGUCAGGAGAUACUUGCUCAAACUCAGCUUGGUGGGAUGGGGUAUCCCUGCAGUCAUCGUGUCGCUGGUGGUGAUCGUAAACAGAGGCACGUAUGGACGUGUCUUUCUGGACUUGUCUAACUCCAACAGCAAUGCAAUAUGCUAUAUUGGCAAUAACACGGUGAAGAUGGUGACUACAGUGGGAGUGUUCUGCUUGGUGUUCGCCUUUAACGUCAUCAUGUUAGGGGUGACGGUCCGACGCGUGGUGAGCCUUGGCCAGCGCAAACAGUUUGGGCAGAGUGACAGUGACAGAGCCAAGCGGGACAUCUGUACCCUGCUGGGAGUCACCAUUCUGCUUGGCAUUACCUGGGGCCUGGUCUUCUUCUCAUUUGGCUACCUGACCAUUCCUGGCCUCUACGUCUUCUGCAUCCUGAACUCACUGCAAGGCGUAGGCGACGCAAAUGGCAUUGGUCACAUUCUUGCCUGCGUACUUUGCGUGCACCUGGAGGAUUAAAUGAAUCCACUAGGGGGCGGACCAGGACCGGAUCAUCCCUCCCACAUUUCUGAGGAAGUGCACGUCAGGCGACGGCGUAGCCCCGUAGCUUACGCCGUCACCUACGCUGUCAAUUGAACGCAGAAGUUUCUUCAUCUUCCUGUGGUUUGUGAUGUCUUUGAGAAAGAUUGGAAAUUCUGCUAAGACGAGUAGAGAAACACAGAGCACCAACAACUAAAUCUAAACCGACACACCAAGACAUAUUUCUUGCGUCUGUGUGCAACUGUGUGUGGUGGGAAGAUUUAUUAUUUCAUUAUCUUUAUUAUUAUGUUUUCAUUUACCAUUAUUAUUGCUGAUUUAGAUUAUGAUGUUUUCAUGUACAGCAAUGUAGCAGA